GAAAGAUUGUCUUCGGAGAAUCGAGUAGAGUGGCGCACGGGUGAGUAACGCGUAAGUUAUCUACCCCUUCAUCUGGAAUAACUCAGCGAAAGCUGUGCUAAUACCGGAUACGCUGGAAACAGGAAAGAUGGCCUCUUCUUGAAAGCUAUCGUGGAGGGAUGAGCUUGCGUACCAUUAGCUAGUUGGUAGGGUAAUGGCCUACCAAGGCAACGAUGGUUAGCGGGUCUGAGAGGAUGAUCCGCCACACUGGAACUGGAACACGGACCAGACUCCUACGGGAGGCAGCAGUGAGGAAUAUUGCGCAAUGGGGGCAACCCUGACGCAGCGACGCCGCGUGGAUGAUGAAGGCCUUUGGGUCGUAAAAUCCUGUCAGAUGGAAAGAAAUGCGUAGUGGUUAAUACCCAUUACGUUUGACGGUACCAUCAAAGGAAGCACCGGCUAACUCCGUGCCAGCAGCCGCGGUAAUACGGAGGGUGCAAGCGUUGUUCGGAAUUACUGGGCGUAAAGCGCGCGUAGGUGGUCAUGUAAGUCAGAUGUGAAAGUCCACGGCUCAACCGUGGAAGUGCAUUUGAAACUGUAUGACUUGAGUACUGGAGGGGGUAGUGGAAUUCCCGGUGUAGAGGUGAAAUUCGUAGAUAUCGGGAGGAAUACCGGUGGCGAAGGCGACUACCUGGCCAGAUACUGACACUGAGGUGCGAAAGCGUGGGGAGCAAACAGGAUUAGAUACCCUGGUAGUCCACGCCGUAAACGAUGUCAACUAGGUGUUGGGAUGGGUAAUCAUCUCAUUGCCGGAGCUAACGCAUUAAGUUGACCGCCUGGGGAGUACGGUCGCAA
rnacentral:rRNA from 1 species